CCUACGGGGGGCAGCAGUGGGGAAUUUUGGACAAUGGGCGCAAGCCUGAUCCAGCCAUGCCGCGUGAGUGAAGAAGGCCUUCGGGUUGUAAAGCUCUUUCGGGGACCGUGCGGUACUCGCAGAAGAAGCACCGGCUAACUACGUGCCAGCAGCCGCGGUAAUACGUAGGGUGCAGGCGUUAAUCGGAAUUACUGGGCGUAAAGCGUGCGCAGGCGGCUCCUUAAGUCAGAUGUGAAAUCCCCGGGCUUAACCUGGGAACUGCGUUUGAAACUGAGGGGCUUGAGUGUGGAAGAGGGGGGUGGAAUUCCAGGUGUAGCAGUGAAAUGCGUAGAGAUCUGGAGGAACACCGAUGGCGAAGGCAGCCCCCUGGGCUAAACUGACGCUCAUGCACGAAAGCGUGGGGAGCAAACAGGAUUAGAUACCCUUGUAGUC
rnacentral:rRNA from 1 species